CCGCACAACCCUAUGAAUGUAACAAAUCGUGAGCGCACGCAUCGUUUUCGAAUUAUUAUUUUAUUUUUUUCGAAUUUAAACCGCGCAAUUUCCGGGAUCCCGUGGUUUCAUCGAAAUUCCAUAUAAUAUUAUCGUUGUCGCCGGAUACUCGACUCUGUUCACGGCAAUUUGUGCCUACACCGAGUACGAUAAUUAUAAUACACCCACUCGGUACCAUAUUAAAGGUACCGGUGGUUACCGGGUAUAUCGUCCAGUACCUACCUAUUCGGCUUUAUACCUAUAGUUCAUAGAUAUACCUAUACCUAACGUCUGUAAGACAUUUUUGCACUCGUCGCGAGUUAUAAGCACACGUAAGCACGCACGCACACUAAUAUAUUUAUGUAGGUACUUACAUAAAAUACAUAUAAUAUAUAAACUUACAAGUACGCACACGAUUUAUUCGACACCGGGUCACGUAUACGGUCCUCGUCUCGUCACUCGGCACGCGUAGGUUACACGCACGUGAUCGCAGCGCGUUCGCAGAUCCGCACCGACUGUUAUGCACGGAGUACGCCCGGUAUAUUGGCGUAUAAAUUAUUCGUUAAGGUAUAAACCGUAUACCUGAACCUUAACACAACUCAUUGCCACACUUCAUAUAUCGAGGCUGCAUUCGUAAUAUAUUUCGUCCACUGCAACUAUAUAAUAUACACACGAGCAUUCGUCAAUAUGUCGUCGUCACAUACAUUCAGUACACUCUCGUCAUUCGUCGUCUAGAGGUCACGCGACAAGUGCGCAUUCAAACCAUUGGYGAAACAUAGAGGGCGACAUAGGUGAACGAGAGGGUCGAUCGAGUACGAUGUCAUUCGAAUUAUUUUGAUACGGCCAAGACUUAGAGGAGACAUAGCCGCCGUGAGCAAGAGGGUCAAUCGCCGCUGCAACCGACGAACGGUCACAGAUUUCUGCACGAAGCCAAUGUAAACGCCUAAUCGUGGACUCCCAACUUCAAUCGAGUUAUUUUUCAAACAGGUUGCACUGUUUCUUGCCUGCUAUCACUCUGGCCAGCGUCCAAGGGUGCCCGACCCCGACAGCCGGACCCGGGCUGAGUUGGUGGACGAUGAUGAAC